rnacentral:rRNA from 1 species
UGAACUGCGGAGGACAUAC